rnacentral:rRNA from 1 species
GACGAACGCUGGCGGCGUGCCUAAUACAUGCAAGUAGGACGCAGUUGCGAACGGGUGAGUAACGCGUAGGUAACUUCCUCUUAGAGGGGGAUAACUAUUGGAAACGAUAGCUAAUACCGCAUACUAGUAGAUGGACCUGCGUUGUAUUAGCUAGUAGGUAGGGUAAUGGACUACCUGGGCAACGAAACAUAGCCGACCUGAGAGGGUGGUAGGCCACACUGAGACGGAGACAUAGAACAGACUCCUACGAGAGGCAGCAGUAGGGAAACUUCGGCAAUGGGGGGAACCCUGACCGAGCAUCGGAGCGUGAGUGACGAAGGUAAUCGGAUCGUAAAGCUCUGUUAUUAAGGACGCGGUACUUAACCAGAUAGGGACGGCUAACUACGUGCCAGCAGCCGCGGUAAUUC